rnacentral:rRNA from 1 species
CCUACGGGGGGCUGCAGUGGGGAAUUUUGGACAAUGGGCGCAAGCCUGAUCCAGCCAUGCCGCGUGAGUGAAGAAGGCCUUCGGGUUGUAAAGCUCUUUCAGCCGGAAAGAAAACGCACGGGAUAAUACCCUGUGUGGAUGACGGUACCGGAAGAAGAAGCACCGGCUAACUACGUGCCAGCAGCCGCGGUAAUACGUAGGGUGCGAGCGUUAAUCGGAAUUACUGGGCGUAAAGCGUGCGCAGGCGGUUUUGUAAGACAGAUGUGAAAUCCCCGGGCUUAACCUGGGAACUGCAUUUGUAACUGCAAGGCUAGAGUACGGCAGAGGGGGGUAGAAUUCCACGUGUAGCAGUGAAAUGCGUAGAUAUGUGGAGGAAUACCGAUGGCGAAGGCAGCCCCCUGGGUCGAUACUGACGCUCAUGCACGAAAGCGUGGGGAGCAAACAGGAUUAGAUACCCCAGUAGUC